rnacentral:rRNA from 1 species
GCUCAACCGUGGAGGGUCAUUGGAAACUGGGAAACUUGAGUGCAGAAGAGGAAAGUGGAAUUCCAUGUGUAGCGGUGAAAUGCGCAGAGAUAUGGAGGAACACCAGUGGCGAAGGCGACUCUCUGGUCCGUAACUGACGCUGAUGUGCGAAAGCGUGGGGAUCAAACAGGAUUAGAUACCCUGGUAGUCCACGCCGUAAACGAUGAGUGCUAAGUGUUAGGGGGUUUCCGCCCCUUAGUGCUGCAGCUAACGCAUUAAGCACUCCGCCUGGGGAGUACGACCGCAAGGUUGAAACUCAAAGGAAUUGACGGGGACCCGCACAAGCGGUGGAGCAUGUGAUUUAAUUCGAAGCAACGCGAAGAACCUUACCAAAUCUUGACAUCCUUUGAAAACUCUAGAGAUAGAGUCUUCCCCUUCGGGGGACAAAGUGACAGGUGGUGCAUGGUUGUCGUCAGCUCGUGUCGUGAGAUGUUGGGUUAAGUCCCGCAACGAGCGCAACCCUUAAGCUUAGUUGCCAUCAUUAAGUUGGGCACUCUAGGUUGACUGCCGGUGACAAACCGGAGGAAGGUGGGGAUGACGUCAAAUCAUCAUGCCCCUUAUGAUUUGGGCUACACACGUGCUACAAUGGAUAAUACAAAG